rnacentral:tRNA from 1 species
AAGGAUUUAAGUUAAUUAAACUUUUAACCUUCAAAGUUAACAAUAGAUGCUAUCUAAGCCUUA